rnacentral:lncRNA from 1 species
GGCAGGCAGCUGAAAAAAACCCCCUCUGGGGUCCUUGGGUCCUUCCUGGGUCUGUUGUCGCGCAGGCCGGGAGCUCACGCGCACGCCGCCGGGUGAUCGCAGACAGGCAGGCUUGUCUUGUGAAGAGGACUGACUUAUUUCUCCAAUUAGACAAAACUCUUCUUCCAAAUCCAGAAGAAAAAUUUCACCAUAGGCAGCUGAGAAGAAUGACAGAAAUCCUAAUUCCUUUAACUCAGAGUUAAAAAGAAAGUUGCUCAAAGGAUACCAAUCUUAUUCAAGGUUUCAGCCAGGUAAUUAUUAUUACAUUUGCUUCUGUUUCUAAUAUUUUCAGAUUUAUUUUAA